AACGCGAAGAACCUUACCUAGACUUGACAUCUCCUGAAUUACUCUUAAUCGAGGAAGUCACUUCGGUGACAGGAAGACAGGUGGUGCAUGGUUGUCGUCAGCUCGUGUCGUGAGAUGUUGGGUUAAGUCCCGCAACGAGCGCAACCCCUAUUGUUAGUUGCUACCAUUUAGUUGAGCACUCUAGCGAGACUGCCCGGGUUAACCGGGAGGAAGGUGGGGAUGACGUCAAAUCAUCAUGCCCCUUAUGUCUAGGGCUACACACGUGCUACAAUGGCUGGUACAGAGAGAUGCGAUACCGUGAGGUGGAGCCAAACUUUAAAACCAGUCUCAGUUCGGAUUGUAGGCUGAAACUCGCCUACAUGAAGCUGGAGUUGCUAGUAAUCGCGAAUCAGAAUGUCGCGGUGAAUACGUUCCCGGGCCUUGUACACACCGCCCGU
rnacentral:rRNA from 1 species